AUGAAAAUUAUGGUUUGGACUGGUAUAACCAGCCUUUAAGAUGGUUCCCAAUGAUCCUCAUUUCCUGUUAUUUAUGCCCUUGUAUAGUCCCUUCCUACACUGAAUCAGGGCUGAUCUAAGUAACCAGUAGGAUAAUACAAAAGUGACAGUGUGUGACUUCAGAGGCUAGGUCAUAAAAGGCACUACAUCUUCUGCCUUGUCUCUUGAAACUCUCAGUCCAUGGCAUGAGGGUACUCAAGCAGCCUUGUAGAGAGACCCCAGUGGAGAGGAACAGUCCUCCAAUCAACAAGUGGCAGUAACCUGCCAGUCACAUCUGAUCCUCCAACCUAGUUAAGUCUUCAAAUGAUUGAUUACCACCUUUCAAGAGGCCCCCUAAGCCAGAACCACCUACCAAAGCCACAGCUGCAUUCCUGACCCACAGAAAUUAAAAAGCUUGCCAACUCCAGAGUGAAAAGAAGGAGCUUAAAGAUCAAGUCUUAGGGUACUUCUGCUUAGAAGUCAGGAAAAGGUAAAGGAUCUCUUGCAAAUGAGCCUGAAAAGCAGCAGCCAGGGGGGUAAGUGGGAAAUUCUGUGAGUGGGGCAUCUUAAAAUAUAAGAGAAGAAAAUGUUUCAAACCAGAGAGAAUGGUCAACUGUGUUAAAUGCUACUAAGGUAAAGGCAAAGAUUCAACUUUUGAA